ACUGCCUGAUGCUUUUCAAAUGUAUCUGAAUCAGAAUCGAACACCCACUUUAUGCAUAGCUCCCUAAUCAGGAAGUUAUUCUUCCCAUCAAAGCAACUGGAAAGAAAAAAGAUAAAACAAUGAAGGGAGGAGAAAACACAAAAGUUCAAGAAGAGCAGAAUGUUCCGGCAAGGAGAAAAAGCUGGGAAAAGUCACCAAUGAAUGCCAGGGUUCACCACUAUCUUAGGAAUAUCAUGAAUAAAGCGUUAGAUUGGGUGUGCCCUAACUGAUGGUCACAAGCAUGAUACUAAUUAUCAGGGUGAACAAAGCAGGGGAGUAAGAGCAUCAGUAACUGUGAAACUCUAGGAGUUUGUCUUCAUUCUUUCAGUGAUAGAAUAUCUAGCAUUUGUAUUUCGUACAUCAUACACUUGAGUUAGUAUCUGUGGAAAGGAUAAAUACAUAAGGAAAAGAGAUGCAGGAAGCUGCAGAGACACUGGCCAUUUAUCUGAGAAGUGCCCAAUGAGGCAUCACCGGAUAAGCACACGUCGGGUCGUUCUCCUGCUUCAGUCUGUGGCGUUGACAUUAUCAAUGCUAUGGAUGCCUCAAGGCUCUCAUAAAAAUACAUGGCUUCAGCAAUACGCAUGCAGUUAUCUCAGUUUAAAGGAAAUGGGUUCUGCUCCCUGCUUAAUAAGAAAUCCUGCUUACUUCUCCAGCUUUUGAAGCACAGAUUAUUUUUCUUCUCUUCAUCAUAUAAAAAUGGAAAUUAUCAAAACAAAACAUCAUCAAAACAAAACAUCAUCAAAAACAGGUUGCUCUCUGAGUAAAGGUUUUAUGUUUGUUUGGGAUAGAAUCUCAUUCUGUCACCCAGGCCAGAGAGCACUGACAUUAUCAUGGCUCACUGCAACCUCAAACUCCCAAGCUCAAGCGAUCCUCCCACCUCAGCCUCCCAAGUAGCUGGGACCACAG
rnacentral:lncRNA from 1 species